AGUUGGUCUGUAAAAAAAAACAAAAACACCAGACAAAAAGAACAGGUAUUUUAAAGACAAGUCCUGAUCAAGAAAAACCCUGCUGUUCUGAGUAACCUUUAGAUAGCCAUGCAGUCUAAGAAUUGGGAUGAAAUCAAGCAAGGCUAACCAAAUGUAUGAAAUCUGUGUAUAGGGUAUAUUAAGAACCCUUCUUGUUCUCAGGAUGGCAUUUUUCUUGCUUUAGGGAGCUUGGAAAUGUGGAAAUAACAUGUCUUAGAUCAGACAGACUUACUGAUCUACUUUCAAACCAUGUUCCACCUUUUAGUCCAGUAACGAGGGCAAAUGCUUAUCAGGUGUUUUGUGGCUCUUUUUUUUCUUCUGCAGAUGUGUAUUAAAAAAAAAAUCCAACUAUUAUCUUACAAGGGGAAAAAAAAGGAGACGAGUGGAAGCUUACAACUCCCAUUCCUUUUUUUGUGCUCUGCAACAGUUCAGAACUAUUCAACCAACAAGAAAGGGAGUUCCAGCAGCCAUAAACAUCUCUUUUCUGAAAGGGGAUUACACAGAAGAAAACAGACUGAAACCAUUGAGUCUACAGUGCUGCUACUGCCCCUGUGCACCUUGUUUUUCAUGGAAGACUUUAAAUGUUGGUAGAGAUGGAAGGUUUCUGCACAUCCAUGAGGAAAAGGGAUAAGAUGGAGGCAAACAGAUGCAACCAGAAUGUAGAAAGAGUGGAUUCACUGGUAGCACAGAGGUUUUGAAGAUAAAUGAAGAUUCUAUUCAUUCAGAGGGGGACAUCACGGAGAAGAAAGUCCCAGAAUGUAAUGUUGCAAGAAGAGCUAAAAUUCAGGCUACGUUACAGAAUGGCCUUGUAAUUCUGAAGCAACUGAUGUAGCUGUUUUCCUGCCACUACAGAGAUAUCCUUGUGCACAUUCCCAUCCUAAUUCUGGCCACUCCCAAGAGCAACUAUUUAUUAAGGUACUAGACCAAGAAUUCCGGACAGAACAGAACAAGACACAGAGGAGAGAGGCACAAACCUCCAAGCAAAGUGUGAAGAAUGCUUUGGGGAAACGGAAAAGCUUUCUGCCUUUUAAAGUGGUGUCCUCCCAGUCCUAUGUAAUGCCCAGAGCCAGGAGAAUGUCAGAACUCCGUCCACCUGGAUGACCAGAGCUGCCUAUUGCUUUAUGUACUGCUCAACCCUAAAAUGGGAAUGUCAAUACGCAUUCAGGAAACUGAAUCAUCUGCUCGAAACAGUUGAGCAGUUGUUAAGAAAUGUGGCAAGGAAAUAAAAGACAAUCACAUCCUCCAGUUGAGAACCAUUGCAUGUAAUCAAUCAUACACCAUUCGAAUGUAAGGGAAGGCAAAAAUAAUAAUCAGUACCAAUUUACUGUUAAUGGUAGCAUUAAGGUAACAGUUCAUCACAUUUUUGUAUCCAUUACAUUCCUUGUUAAUGUCUGAUUAAAAAUCUGUUUUUAAAUAUCUCUUCAAACCUUGCAUUCUACCCAAAAUAGCCAUUUGUAAACAAAAUUUAUGCUCUAAUCAUGUGAAUUAUUUUUUAAUGCAAUAAUAUCUAUAAAUAGCUAUGCGUGGAUCAAGCAUAAUUAUGUCACUGGCUUAAGUAAGGCUUUGCAUCUUUGCCUUUAGAACUCAAACUAAAAAAUGCACAACUUUCUAACUAUCAUUCCUUCUGGAUACUCAUGAAGUAUUAACUUUAUAGAAGUCACACAGAAUGUAAAGCUUAAAACACUGUACACAGUUUUGUGAAGGUCACUGCCUCUAACAUUAAGGCAUAGAGCCCAUCAGAGUGAUACUAGUAUGGGCAUGAGAAAGCAACUAAUCACAUUUAAGUGUCAUGAAAAAAUGUUUUAUGUUUUAUUGUAGCAGCUAUUGGUUUUAUACCCCACCACUAAAGUUUUGCCCUGGAGCAAAAAUUCUUGAGGUGGAAGUACACUUACAUCUUUAAAUAAAAAGAAACUAAGAUAGUGUCUGCAGUACUACAACCUCAAGCAUUUAAAAUAAUUUAUCUAAUGUGCAUUUCUUCAAGUCUACUGAAGUCUUGCAGGAGCAAAUGGAAUGAGGAAAUUAAGAAUGUUAUUACUAUAUUUUAGCAAACUUCUCAGUUCUGGACUCUGAGAUACUUACAGAAGUAACUAAGUGACAAAGUUACAAUGAUCUUCUGAAUGCUCCAGCUAAAAAGUGAAAACAUCCUUUUACAUGCCCAAAAGGAUACAGAGAGCUUCAACUGCACGAGCCCAUUCCUACUGACACUUUUUUGCCUAAUUGUCUUCUGACUGAAAUGUCAGAUUUAUAACUAAUUCUUGGAUUCCAGCCUAAACUGGAAGUCACCUAUUUUUUACACAAGCACAUGGCUGAAAUAUUUCUGGACCACAAAAAUCAAGCAAACUUUUCCUUUUCCAGCAAAAGAGCUAGGUGCAUUUCAAGAAUUUCAGAUUCUAAUUCCAGUGAGAUUUUGGCACUAAGCUAUAUGCAGCCAUGGAGAUAUAGAGAUAACAUACACACACACCCCAGCUUCUUGGCAUGCAGAAACUAAAACUACACUGCUAAGGCAUGCCAUAUCCAUGCUAUAAACUAAAAUACAAGAUUCUUUGUUAGCUUUUUGCCCUUCUCAGCUUAAAUCUUACUUCCACAAUCUACUGAUCACUUCCAUAUUUUCAUGAACCAUAUCUGCUGACCCUAAUUUUAUUAGUGACGAUACAAAGUCUUUAUCCCACAGUCCUAGUACACAAGAGCAGACACCCAACUUGAGGGCAGGAAAGGACAAGGGUAGUUGAAAGCCUUUCAUUCACUCAUUCACAGUUUAGUUGUGCACUAAUAUAUGUUUUUGACAAGUAAACAAAACAAGGACAAACAGCCAAAUUAAAAUCUCAGCCUUCAUUAUGAGUACACCUUAAACUCCAAAUUUCAGCAGCUGUAAGAAAAUGCAUAAUACACUCUGCACCUGGCAGUCUCCAGAGAGAGGUCACAAUUCUGACCAUAUUUGGAUAAGGUAGACACAUGAUCCCAAGCCUUGAACCAAAGUCUUCAGUUCUUUGUGUACAAAGCAGAUCAAAGGUAACUGAUUUUACUAUUUCUAUACAGACUGGAUUUUAAAACUAUCAGUUUCACAUUAAGAUUCACAUGUUAUUACCCAUAUCCUAGAAAAUAAACAAAUUCUGCAGUAUGCACUCAGAAUGGCGUGCAGCUCGUGUUCAGCAAUACCAGAGGUACAAAUACCUGUGCAAUACUCUGGAAAUCAAAUCAUUAAAUACCCAUUCACUAUCUGUCCCAUACCUUACAAUUUCUACUCAUUCUCCCUCUUCCAAGAUGUCAGAAUAUGAACCAUUUAUUUCUGAUGAAGCAAGAAGUUUAAAUACACACUGCUACAUAAGAGAUUCAUAAGGUACAAGCUGAAUUCAAGUGCAAGCUCCCAUGCUGCCUUCGAUUAGUUCCAAGGUGCAAACAUGCAGCUAAGGGAGACCAGAGCCCUGCUGGGCAAGAGAGAAGGAGGAAUCACUGCAGAGUUGUCACACGUCUCCGCAAGAGGAGAAAGUGUGUAACAUCUUUAAUGUGUGGCAAUGACUCUUGCCUUAUGAAUGUAGGUGAAGACAUAAUUUGUAGAAUAAUAGGCACUAAUAUUACACGCUGCUUCAGUUCUGUCAUAUUUCCAAUCCAUCAAGUUGAUUAAUGCUAUAAUAACUCCUCACAAACUUAUCAUUUGUGCACUAAUGAAGUCAAAUCCAGUUUAUCCUUCGGCAACUAUAAUCUUCUGGUCUGUAGAUGUUCAUUUCCCUGCUAACCACGGCUACUGUGGUACCCGGUAUAUAAAGAGAAAAUUAACAAAUGUGAUGUCAAUUCAACUUCAGAAGCUUUCAACACAGAACCACAUUUAUGUGUUAGAUCCUACGCAACAGACAUUUUUAUCAUUAGCUGCUCACAGGAUGAAAUAACUGCCUGGAAGCAUGCCUUACAGGAACAGCUUCUCUACAUUUCUUAGAAAUAAGGAACUAUUUCAUUCUUCCUUCUGCCUCCAUAAUCAGAGGAAUUACUAUUGUGUGGUUUUCAAUGGGUCUGUCUCUCAAGCUUGCAGUCUUCAGUAAAAAUUGUUUUCCCACCCUACUGAAACUUUUCCCAUGAUUAACAAAUUCAAAUAUUUAGUCUUUCAUGUGGAUUGUCUGCUGUUCAGGACAAUCAAAUCUCAUACUAUUGUCUUUCCCUACUGCUCCUCUACCACAUUGCUUGUUGAUUAAAACAAUAAUGGCAGUUAUAGGAAACAGCCUAUGGGAAACAAUCCGUGCAGUUGUUCCCCUCCUCCAACACCCCCCCCUUAACAUUGUCUGAAAAGGGCUUGAGUUCAAAAGUAACAGGGAAAUGAGAAUUAAAAGCACAUGGACACAGAAAACAUCACUACAUAAGCCUCGUUAUCCUGGGUGCUGAGAAUUCAGCAGACACAGCACCUCAACAAGUGGGGAAGUCAAACAGCAAUCAAACCUACAGCAAAUCUUCUUUGGUUUUGUGGAUGAGUAAAAAUGCAUGAAAAUUUCACUAAGCUCAGUGUAUUUGUUAGUCUAAGUGUUUUACUUAUUAACAGUUUAGCAUAGAAAAUGCUAAAGAUUUCAAAGUGAUAACAGGGUUCUUAGUUGUCAAAUUAGAAGAAAAUUCUGUGAACUAGUGUGUUGCAUGUUCCCAGUGAUUUAAAGUACUCAGGUACUAUUGAAACAGAUCCCUAACUCCUCACCUGUCAUAUUAGAGAAUGACUUAGAAAAAACAUAA